UACGUAGGGUGCAAGCGUUGUUCGGAAUUACUGGGCGUAAAGGGCUCGUAGGCGGCCAACUAAGUCGGAUGUGAAAUCCCCAGGCUUAACCUGGGAACUGCAUCCGAUACUGGAUGGCUUGAAUUCGGGAGAGGGAUGCAGAAUUCCAGGUGUAGCGGUGAAAUGCGUAGAUAUCUGGAGGAAUACCGGUGGCGAAGGCGGCAUCCUGGACCGACAUUGACGCUGAGGAGCGAAAGCUAGGGGAGCAAACGGG
rnacentral:rRNA from 1 species